UACGUAGGGGGCUAGUGUUAUCCGGAAUUACUGGGCGUAAAGGGUGCGUAGGUGGUUUCUUAAGUCAGAGGUGAAAGGCUACGGCUCAACCGUAGUAAGCCUUUGAAACUGGGAAACUUGAGUGCAGGAGAGGAGAGUGGAAUUCCUAGUGUAGCGGUGAAAUGCGUAGAUAUUAGGAGGAACACCAGUUGCGAAGGCGGCUCUCUGGACUGUAACUGACACUGAGGCACGAAAGCGUGGGGAGCAAACAGG
rnacentral:rRNA from 1 species